UGGAAUUGCACAGACAACCAGGAUGUUGGCUUAGAAGCAGCCACUCAUUUAAAGAGUGCGUAAUAGCUCACUGGUCGAGUGAUCCUGCGCCGAAAAUUUCCGGGGCUAAAACGUACUACCGAAGCUACGGCAUCAUUUAUGAUGGGUAGGGGAGCUUCGUAUGCAGGCUGAAGCAUGACCGUAAGGACAUGUGGACAGUAUACGAGUGAGAAUGUUGGCAUGAGUAGCGAGACGUGGGUGAGAAUCCCACGGGCCGUAAACCCAAGGUUUCCAGGGGAAGGUUCGUCCGCCCUGGGUUAGUCGGGACCUAAGCCGAGGCCGAAAGGCGUAGGUGAUGGACAACAGGUUGAUAUUCCUGUACCGCCAAUAAGCGUUUGAGAGAUGGAGUGACACAGUAGGAUAAGCUAACCGUACUGUUGGUUAUGUACGGCUAAGCAUUGAGGCAGUCUAAAUAGGCAAAUCCGUUUAGACAAUGCUAGGAUGUGAUGGGGAAGCCCUCCGGGGCGAAGUAGCUGAUUUCACACUGUCAAGAAAAGCUUCUAUCGAGUUUAAAGGCGCCCGUACCGUAAACCGACACAGGUGGGUGAGGAGAGUAUCCUAAGGCCAGCGAGAGAACUAUUGUUAAGGAACUCGGCAAAAUGACCCCGUAACUUAGGGAGAAGGGGUGCCUGUCUAUGACAGGCCGCAGAGAAUAGGCCCAAGCGACUGUUUACCAAAAACACAGGUUUCUGCUAAGUCGCAAGACGAUGUAUAGGAGCUGACGCCUGCCCGGUGCUGGAAGGUUAAGGGGAUCUGUUAGAGCAAUCGAAGCAGUGAACUUAAGCCCCAGUAAACGGCGGCCGUAACUAUAACGGUCCUAAGGUAGCGAAAUUCCUUGUCGGGUAAGUUCCGACCCGCACGAAAGGCGUAACGAUUUGGGCACUGUCUCAACAAUAGACUCGGUGAAAUUGUAAUCCCGGUGAAGAUGCCGGGUACCUGCGACAGGACGGAAAGACCCCAUGGAGCUUUACUGUAGCUUGACGUUGGGUCUUGGUACUACAUGUACAGGAUAGGUGGGAGACUAUGAAGCAUGGACGCCAGUCUGUGUGGAGUCAUCCUUGGGAUACCACCCUUGUAGUACUGGGAUCCUAACCAUAGGCCUUGAAUCAGGUCUUGGAACACCGUCAGGUGGGCAGUUUGACUGGGGCGGUCGCCUCCUAAAAAGUAACGGAGGCGCUCAAAGGUUUCCUCAGCACGGUCGGAAAUCGUGCGAAGAGUGUAAAGGCAAAAGGAAGCUUGAUUGCAAGACAUACAGGUCGAGCAAGGACGAAAGUCGGACUUAGUGAUCCGGUGGUACCGCAUGGAAGGGCCAUCGCUCAACGGAUAAAAGCUACCCUGGGGAUAACAGGCUUAUCUCCCCCAAGAGUCCACAUCGACGGGGAGGUUUGGCACCUCGAUGUCGGCUCAUCACAUCCUGGGGCUGUAGUAGGUCCCAAGGGUUGGGCUGUUCGCCCAUUAAAGUGGUACGCGAGCUGGGUUCAGAACGUCGUGAGACAGUUCGGUCCUUAUCUGUCGCAGGCGCAGGAUAUUUGAGGGGAGUUGACCUUAGUACGAGAGGACCAGGUUGAACUUACCAAUGGUGUAUCAGUUGUCAUACCAAUGGCACGGCUGAGUAGCUAAGUAGGGAAGGGAUAAACGCUGAAAGCAUCUAAGUGUGAAGCCCACCCCAAGAUAAGAUAUCCCAUACCGUAAGGUAGU
rnacentral:rRNA from 1 species